CUUGGAGCUUUCAUGAUUGUUAAUCAACUUAACUUUCCGUGAGAUUGAAGUAGGAGAAACCUCAAUUGCUGGAUCUGCUCUUCUUACUAUAAAACUGGUGUUCUGAUCAUAGUAGUAGGCUUUCAUCAGUGAUUUGAAAUUAGGAGCAUCUUGUCAAAUAUUAUUAGCAAUAUUUCUAAUGACUAAUAAUAAAUAAUCUACUGUGCAUAUCAUGCUUUGAUUGAUUUAAGAAAGA